rnacentral:lncRNA from 1 species
GGUGAAUCGGGAUUUUUAAUGAAGUGGGUGUGAUCACUCUUGAUUGUUUUGUGAAAUCGGAGUUACGUCUGUGAUUGGAGAAUUAAAAGGGUGUCUAUAGGAUUGAGUAUGCGGAGUGAAUGAAAUUUGUUGGGUUAAUCUAACGAGACAGUCAAUGGAUACAAGAUCGUGAGUACAAAGCGGUAUCAAAGAUUAACAGUUUGGGUUGUUCAAGGUUCUCUGUAACGUUUAGAGACCUACCGACCGGGACAAAAAGGACAUCGGCGAGCAGUUGAAGGGCAUCCGUAUAGAUUUACGGUGUAUUCUUG